rnacentral:rRNA from 1 species
UGACUCUCGGCAACGGAUAUCUCGGCUCUCGCAUCGAUGAAGAACGUAGCGAAAUGCGAUACUUGGUGUGAAUUGCAGAAUCCCGUGAACCAUCGAGUCUUUGAACGCAAGUUGCGCCCGAAGCCACUAGGCCGAGGGCACGYCUGCCUGGGUGUCACG